UUACUUCAUGUCUGGGUCAGAUUUCAGAUUGUUUGUUUCAUGCCUCUUAACACUUACCCAACCUCUUAUUACCCUCUGACCGGGUCAUACAUUGUGUGGAGUCUGACCCAUCUCUGAAUGAACGUUAGACUUCAAUAUCCCUCACAUUCUUCCUCAUCUUCUACCACCGCCUACCACCUCCACUCUGCAGCGCCUCCCCCUCAAUCGGAGGUCCACAGCCGAGCUUCUUCCACCUUCUACCUCCUCCACUCUGCAGCGCCUCCCCCUCAAUCGGAGGUCCACAGCCGAGCUUCUUCCACCUUCUACCUCCUCCUCUCUGCAGCGCCCUCCCCCUCAAUCGGAGGUGCACAGCCGACCUUCUUCCACUGGCGACCUAUUUAGGGGUGCUUGGAGAGGGUUCUGCAAACCCACUCGAAAAGUGGUAGGCAUGGGCGGCCACCCGGAAACACCAGUCCCUGGGCUUGCGCCAGGUACAUGCAUGGUGGUGAUUGACAAGUGGGAGGCGACAAGACGUGUUCAUGGUUUGCCAAUGAUACCGAGAGGGCGAGGAGGGUCGGGGUGUGCUCAAUACCAAAUCUAACCGGUCACAAUUUAGUUAGGUUUUUGUUUUAAUUUAAUUUAGAAAUUUGUUGUGGUAUAAGAAGCACAUCCAUUUUCUGGGAUUUGAUAAGUUGUAGCAAAUAAUGAAAAAUGUUGAUGUGAAAGAGAGAGUCGUUACAUAAAUAAGGCAAGUGGGUUAAGCAUUCCUUCCA